GUAGAGAAUACCGCUUGAGAGAACUCUGGUGAAGGAACUAGGCAAAAUAGUACCGUAACUUCGGGAGAAGGUGCGCUGCUGACGGUGAAGGCCUUGCGCCGUAAGCUGUUGGCAGCCGAAGUAACCAGGCCGCUGCGACUGUUUGUUAAAAACACAGCACUCUGCAAACACGAAAGUGGACGUAUAGGGUGUGACGCCUCCCCGGUGCCGGAAGGUUAAUUGAUGGGGUCAGCCGCAAGGCGAAGCUCUUGAUCGAAGCCCCGGUAAACGGCGGCCGUAACUAUAACGGUCCUAAGGUAGCGAAAUUCCUUGUCGGGUAAGUUCCGACCUGCACGAAUGGCGUAACGAUGGCGGCGCUGUCUCCACCAGAGACUCAGUGAAAUCGAAAUCGCGGUGAAGAUGCCGUGUACCCGUGGCUAGACGGAAAGACUCCGUGAACCUUUACUGUAGCUUCACACUGGACUUUGACAUGAUCUGUGUAGGAUAGCUGGGAGGCUUUGAAGUGGUGACGCCAGUUGCCAUGGAGCCGUCCUUGAAAUACCAGCCUGGUCCUGUCGGGGUUCUAACGUCGACCUGUUAUCCAGGUUACGGACAGUGUGUGGUGGGCAGUUUGACUGGGGCGGUCUCCUCCCAAAGAGUAACGGAGGAGCACGAAGGUGCGCUAAUCACGGUCGGAAAUCGUGAGGUUAGUGUAAAGGCACAAGCGCGCUUGACUGCGAGACAGACAAGUCGAGCAGGUACGAAAGUAGGUCUUAGUGAUCCGGUGGUUCUGUAUGGAAGGGCCAUCGCUCAACGGAUAAAAGGUACUCCGGGGAUAACAGGCUGAUACCGCCCAAGAGUUCAUAUCGACGGCGGUGUUUGGCACCUCGAUGUCGGCUCAUCACAUCCUGGGGCUGAAGCCGGUCCCAAGGGUAUGGCUGUUCGCCAUUUAAAGUGGUACGCGAGCUGGGUUUAGAACGUCGUGAGACAGUUCGGUCCCUAUCUGCCAUGGGCGUUGGAGAUUUGAGAAGAGUUGCUCCUAGUACGAGAGGACCGGAGUGAACGAACCUCUGGUGUACCGGUUGUCACGCCAGUGGCAUUGCCGGGUAGCUAAGUUCGGACGGGAUAACCGCUGAAAGCAUCUAAGCGGGAAGCCUCCUUCAAGAUGAGAUCUCCCUGGAGCUUCAAGCUCCCUAAAGGGCCGUCGAAGACUACGACGUUGAUAGGCGAGGUGUGGAAGCGUUGUGAGACGUUGAGCUGACUCGUACUAAUUGCCCGUGCGGCUUGACC
rnacentral:rRNA from 1 species